AUGCGAAUGCUCUACUGCAGGACCGUGGCAGCGAUGCUCGCCAAAGCGGACGACAACCACUCCCGUGCAAACAAAGGUGAGCAUUCAGGAAAAGAACACUUGGCUGAACUUCAGGAAAAAGAUGCACUGAAUCUUAAUAAUUUGGUCGAAAAGGGACGACAUGCUGAGAUUUUCGUUGGUGGUCUUCUGAUUGAUUUGGAAGGAAGAAUUGUUGGUAUGAAUUUCAUAGACGAGAAUAAAACUCCCUUUUUGCCCGUCCAGAUUGUUGGGAGAUGCCUGAAACACUUCAGAAAUUUGGGACACUUCUUUCCUGUAUAUGUGACGAUUGCUUGA
rnacentral:rRNA from 1 species